UUAAUUGACAAGGAUCGGACACUUCCGAUGGGGCUUUAAAUCGGGCCGCGCGCAUGCGCGAUAUCUUCUUACCGGAAGAAGAUGAAAUAAUGGCGUAGACCGAGGAUGUCAUGUGUAAACAUUUGAUAAUAAAACUCGGUUUUUGCUGUUGAUUGCGUUGUUUAUACAACUUUGGUACACACUAUUUGUCAAAUUAUUGAUCCUGGUACAGUCAUUUGGUGAUAUAUCAACAUACAAUCAUGACAAGAAAAAAAGGACAAAUUGGUAGAAGAAUGAAGCGAGAGAAACCACGGAAGCAACUGAACAUAAGCAACAUUUGUCAGCAGAUGUUCUGGCGGAAGACCUCUUAUCAAAAUCGCUUGGUGACACAUUCUUCGUUAAUGAUGGUACUACAGAAAGUUAUGAAACACCUCUAGAAAGAGUUGAGUGCUUUGACAGUGAUGGAUGUCAUGCUGACGAGUUUUUUUGUUAUUCUUGACAAGCCUUACAGAUAUUGUCCAGAUACUGAUCUUGAUGAGUUUGUGGAAAAUGAAUCAUUAAGGAUAUUUAGUGAAUUCCGUGAGAACUGUAAAAGGCAUAUAACAAAUGACAAUUUCACAUACAUGAAAUCUUCAAAUGACUUGAAAUUCAUACAUUUGUAUGAAUAAUUACAUAUAUAAUUGAAAGAAAUUAAAAAUGUGUUCAAGUAUGUAAAUAAAUGUUUUCAAAAAAUC